rnacentral:rRNA from 1 species
AGAGUUUGAUCCUGGCUCAGGACGAACGCUGGCGGCGUGCUUAAUACAUGCAAGUCGAGCGGGGAUCUUCGGAUCCUAGCGGCGAACGGGUGAGUAACACGUGGGCAACCUGCCCCUUAGCCUGGAAUAACUUCGGGAAACCGGAGCUAAAACCGGAUAAUCUUAGUUCCUGCAUAGGGAUUAAGUAAAAAGCUUGCUACUAAGGGAUGGGCCCGCGUCGCAUUAGCUAGUUGGAGAGGUAAUGGCUCCCCAAGGCGACGAUGCGUAGCCGACCUGAGAGGGUGACCGGCCACACUGGGACUGAGACACGGCCCAGACUCCUACGGGAGGCAGCAGUAGGGAAUUUUCCGCAAUGGACGAAAGUCUGACGGAGCAACGCCGCGUGAGUGAAGACGGCCUUCGGGUUGUAAAGCUCUGUUCUUUGGGAAGAAAAAAAUGACGGUACCAAAGGAGAAAGCCCCGGCUAACUACGUGCCAGCCGCCGCGGUAAUUC